UUUAAUAUGGCAGAGUAGUGCUUUGAAUUUAAGUUUCAAAUAUAAAAUUUUUUAUUUUUAUUAAAA
rnacentral:tRNA from 1 species